ACGGAAGGCAGCAGUGGGGAAUAUUGCACAAUGGGGGAAACCCUGAUGCAGCAACGCCGCGUGAGUGAAGAAGUAUUUCGGUAUGUAAAGCUCUAUCAGCAGGGAAGAUAAUGACGGUACCUGACUAAGAAGCUCCGGCUAAGUACGUGCCAGCAGCCGCGGUAAUACGUAUGGAGCAAGCGUUAUCCGGAUUUACUGGGUGUAAAGGGUGCGUAGGUGGCAUCGUAAGUCAGAUGUGAAAUACCGGGGCUCAACCCCGGGGCUGCAUUUGAAACUGCGGAGCUGGAGUGCAGGAGGGGCAGGCAGAAUUCCUAGUGUAGCGGUGAAAUGCGUAGAUAUUAGGAGGAACACCGGUGGCGAAGGCGGCCUGCUGGACUGAUACUGACACUGAGGCACGAAAGCGUGGGGAGCAAACAGGAUUAGAUACCCUGGUA
rnacentral:rRNA from 1 species